CUUUGCUUGAUUGACGGACGUCGAGGGCGAAACAGAGCGAAGGUGCUGCAAUGCGCUGCCUUGCCACAACAAGAGCAACACAGUAGGAUGACUAAAGGACGCAACACUUCUGGACGGGAAUUACAUGUUCAAGAAUUGUUUUGAAAUGUACAAGGAAGAUAUUGGCAUUCUCCUUGCGCCAUCAGCUGUUCAACAUCUGCGAGCUGCAAAGGCUCUCCUGUAUGACAAGGAAGCAGUAGACGCGUCAUUCGCAAUGCUCAUUUUAUGUGCUUCCAAGGGAUGCAGCCAAAGGACGACCUGCGGAUGUGCGAGUCACGUUUAUGGGAGCUGCAAAAAAGAAUUAAAGUGUAUCCCCAGUGU
rnacentral:lncRNA from 1 species